rnacentral:lncRNA from 1 species
UUAACCACCGCGAGCAUCACGGCGGUGAACGAGCCACGGCCAAUUCGAAGAUCGCCUAUUAAAAAAAAAAGAAGAAAAAGAAAGAACCUCGAAAGGCUCACCAGGCCGGGACCCCCUCCCGUCACGGUUUCUCUUUCCCCAUCUUCCUUCAGGGUUAGGGUUUCCUGAACCCACGUCGGUGCCGCCGGAGAUGGUGCUCGCAGCUUCCCCGGAGCUAGGUAAGGCGCUGAUCAUGUUAUUUUUCCUGCUUUCCUCUCCCCUGUUUCUGAAAUGAAACAGCGGAGGGACUCCACGGCUCUCGGGCGGGGGCUGCAGUCGAGCCAGAGUCCCGUCCCCUUCUUUCUCUUCGGUGGGGCAAAGGGCCUCGGUGAAGGGAAGAAGGGAGACGGAAAGAAAAGAAGAAAAAGGAGCAAAGAAGGAAAGAUAUAAAGAAAGAGAGAGAAGAGGGGACUCACCCGCGUGCGGCCGCGAGUGUCGCCAGCGUCGCGAGGAGGGGCCACGGACGUCGUGGGAGCCGCCGGCCGUGGCCCGGCCCCUCCCGAGCUCGCCCUCCUCCCUUCGUGGGAGAAGAAAGAAGAAGAAAGAGGGGGAGGAGAAGAAGUCGGGAGAAGAGAAGAGGAGGAGAAGGAAAAAAAAAAGAAAGAAGAAAGAAAUGGGGAAGUUUCGGGAAGAAACAGAGA